AGAGACAGCAGUAGCCGCGGGAAUACGAAGGGGGCUAGCGUUGCUCGGAAUUACUGGGCGUAAAGGGAGCGUAGGCGGAUCGUUUAGUCAGGGGUGAAAUCCCGGGGCUCAACCUCGGAACUGCCUUUGAUACUGGCGAUCUUGAGUAUGGGAGAGGUGUGUGGAACUCCGAGUGUAGAGGUGAAAUUCGUAGAUAUUCGGAAGAACACCAGUGGCGAAGGCGACACACUGGCCCAUUACUGACGCUGAGGCUCGAAAGCGUGGGGAGCAAACAGGAUUAGAUACCCGCGUAGUCCCUGUCUCUUAUAA
rnacentral:rRNA from 1 species